GACGAACGCUGGCGGCGUGCCUAAUACAUGCAAGUCGAGCGCAGGAAGCCGACGGAACUCUUCGGAGGGAAGGCAGUGGAAUGAGCGGCGGACGGGUGAGUAACACGUAAGGAACCUGCCUCAAGGAUUGGGAUAACUCCGAGAAAUCGGAGCUAAUACCGGAUAGUUCAACGGACCGCAUGGUCCGCUGAUGAAAGGCGCUCCGGCGUCACCUUGAGAUGGCCUUGCGGUGCAUUAGCUAGUUGGUGGGGUAACGGCCCACCAAGGCGACGAUGCAUAGCCGACCUGAGAGGGUGAUCGGCCACACUGGGACUGAGACACGGCCCAGACUCCUACGGGAGGCAGCAGUAGGGAAUCUUCCACAAUGGACGAAAGUCUGAUGGAGCAACGCCGCGUGAGUGAUGAAGGUUUUCGGAUCGUAAAACUCUGUUGUAAGGGAAGAACACGUACGAGAGGGAAUGCUCGUACCUUGACGGUACCUUACGAGAAAGCCACGGCUAACUACGUGCCAGCCGCCGCAGUAAAAC
rnacentral:rRNA from 1 species